GAUGAACGCUGGCGGCGUGCCUAAUACAUGCAAGUCGAGCGAACGGACGAGAAGCUUGCUUCUCUGAUGUUAGCGGCGGACGGGUGAGUAACACGUGGAUAACCUACCUAUAAGACUGGGAUAACUUCGGGAAACCGGAGCUAAUACCGGAUAAUAUUUUGAACCGCAUGGCUCAAAAGUGAAAGACGGUCUUUGUGUCUCUUAUAGCUGGAUCCGCGCUGCAUUAGCUAGUUGGUAAGGUAACGGCUUACCAAGGCAACGAUGCAUAGCCGACCUGAGAGGGUGAUCGGCCACACUGGAACUGAGACACGGUCCAGACUCCUACGGGAGGCAGCAGUAGGGAAUCUGCCGCAAAGGGCGAAAGCCUGACGGAGCAGCGCCGCGUGAGUGAUGAAGGUCUUCGGAUCGUAAAACUCUGUUAUGAGGGAAGAACAGAUGUGUAAGUAACUGUGCACAUCUUGACGGUACCUAGUCAGAAAGCCACGGCUAACUACGUG
rnacentral:rRNA from 1 species